rnacentral:lncRNA from 12 species
GGUUUGUGCUAGAACCAAUCAUUUUGAAUGGAAAACACAAAAUGUCUGGGGUUAAAACUAGUAAAGCGCCUGUAAUCUUCUUCAUUCAGCUCAGAUUUAGUCACAGGUCAUGUGAGUAAGUGUGGAUAAAGGGCACUGGGCGGACUUACUGACUUGUCAAUGGGUGACAGGUCAUUUUCUCAUGAGAAGAAGCAGCAGCAGAGGUUGAAAAGAGGGUCUUGAUCCAGAGCGGUGUUUAUACGUAAAUGCAUGCAGAUGCACAAAGAAGUCUUGAAGGUUGCAUGUGAGUCUUUCAAGUGGAAAUGGAGAAGAAGCACAAAUAAAGACAUCUGUAAUGCACACCGGUGUAUGAAAAGGAUGUUUUGAUCUCAAACAAAAACGUAAGAUUCUUCACUGACAUUUAUUUACAUGAAGGAUGGAGUCGGGUUUGUAUUAUGUAACGUCAAUAGCUAGUUCUUAAUCUCUUUUCUCCUUUCUUAAAGUCUUGACCUCAUAACCUCGAAAAGAGAUGGUAGCAGGCACA